AAAAAAAACAUGAACUUCACUAAUAAUUAUCAGUCACUUAAAAAAACAUGAACUUAAAAAAAUCAGUCACUUAAAAAACAUGAACUUCACUAAUAAAUAUCUUGGUUUCAUGAAACACAGCAAAAAAACUAGGAACACAAGGCGUUGAAGAAGGAGAAGAAGACGUUGAAGAAGGAGAAGAAAACGCGACUAGAUCUCUUCCCUCAGUUACACACUUUUAUAUAUGUCCAUAUAACAAAAUCGGACCCUUCGAUUAGGUUAUCCGGAUUCAAAAAAAUAAUAAAAAAACCAACUCGUACCCUCCGAUUUCAUUCCCAUAACAUUCAAAAAAAUUUCCCAUUACAAGCAAAACGGAGGGUCCGAAUUCCUCCUUC
rnacentral:lncRNA from 1 species